UGAGGACCAGAGUACCAGUUUCCUCAGUUCUCAGACCAGCUGAGGGCUUUUAAACCAAACUGAAGGUCAUUUGCAAGAAACAUGAAAGAAUAUAAAGCAUCUUCUUUUCACUGAUAUUCAGAAAGGACUAUAUUUAUUUUGGAACUAUUUAUUGUGCAUGAAGGAUACCUAAGAAAACAAAAUGAAGAAAACAUGGAUUGUAGCACUGGUGUGCUUGACAGCAACCCUGUUAAGAGCACAGACAACAGACACAAACACAACAAGCACACCAGUUGACACAACACCAGAGAAUACAACUGAGAUGACAGCAGCAACAGGAGAGACUCCCACAAGUACUGAACAAACACCUACAACAAACCUGGUCACAGACACAGAGCAAUCACAGAGCUCGGUUAUUCAAACCACUCUGCAAGCUCUGGCACGUUUUGUGACAACUACAAGUGAAUUCCUAUCAACAAAUCUUGUAACUUCAAAUCAAGAACAAUCUACAGAAAAUUUAGAAAUAAGCCCAACUGAAAUUCCAACAUCGACUACAGAACAAGAAACAACAAAUGACUCAAAUAAUGCAUCAACUACAGGUGAAGUUCUCACAAGUCCCGAAUCAACCACAACUGAAUCAGUACCAAGCACAUCAACUCCAGUUGAGUCGACAAUGCAGGAAACAACAACUGUGGAGUCAACAAGUAUCACAGACCUUCUGACAUCAACUACAGAACAGGUAACUACCCUGGAAACAACCAUCUCAAAUGAGUCAGCAACAACAAGUGAAGUCCUCACAAGUCCUGAAUCAACCACAACUGAAUCAGUACCAAGCACACCAACUCCAGUUCAGUCGACAAUGCAGGAAACAACCACUUUAGAGACAACCACUUCAAAUGAUGCAGCUACUACAACUGAAGCUUUUACACGUUCUGAACCAACCACAACUGAAUCAUCACCAACUCCACCAACACAGCAGGAAACAACCACUUUAGAGUCAGAAACAAGUACCACUGAACUUCUGACAUCAACUGCAGAACAAGUAUCUACACUGGAAACAUCAACCCCCAGUGAGCCUGCAACUACUACCAAAGUCCUCAUAAGUCCUGAAUCAACCACAACUGAAUCAGUAACAACCCCAACAACUCCACUUGAGUCAACAAUGCAGGAAACAACCACUGAAGAGUCAACAAGUACAAUUGAAUUUCUGACAUCAACUGCAGAGCUAGCCACUACCUUGGAAACAACCACAUCAACUGAUGCAGCUACUACAACUGAAGCCUUCACAAGUUCUGAACCAUUUACAACUGAAUCAUCGACAACUCCCAUUGAGUCAAUAACACAAGAAUCAACCACUUUAGAGUCAACAAGUACCACUGAACUUCUGACAUCAACUGCAGAACAAGUAUCUACACUGGAAACAUCAACCCCAAGUGAACCAUUAACAACCCCAACAACUCCAGUAGAGUCAACAAUGCAGGACACAACUACUGUGGAGUCAACAACAAGUAUCAAUGAGAUUCUGACAUCAACUGCAGAACAAGUAUCUACUACUACCGAAGUCAUCACAAGUCCUGAAUUAACUACAACUGAACCAUUAACAACCCCAACAACUCCACUAGAGUCAACAAUGCAGGACACAACCACUGUAGAGUCAACAAGUACAACUGAACUUCUGACAUCAACUACAGAACAGGUAACUACCCUGGAAACAACCAUCUCAAAUAAGUCAGCAACAACAAGCGAAGUCCUCACAAGUCCUGAAUCAACCACAACUGAAUCAGUAACAACCACACCAGCUCCUGUUGAGUCGACAAUGCAGGAAACAACCACUGUAGAGUCAACAAGUACCACCGAACUUCUUACAUCAACUGCAGAACAAGUAUCUACACUGGAAACAUCAACCCCCAGUGAGCCUGCAACUACUACCGAAGUCAUCACAAGUCCUGAAUCGACUGCAACUACUGAAUCAUCAACAUCAUCACCAACUCCUCUUGAGACUACAGUGCCAACUACAACUAUUUCCACAACAACAAAAAAUGAAGGCUAUCUUUCUUUACGCUUUAAGAUGGAUACUGUUUUCAUUGAUGCUUACAGUAAUCCAAAUUCAGAUGCUUUUAAGACACUGGCCAAUCAUGUUGAAACUGAGUUGACAAACAUAUACACAGCAAUGUACCCGCUGACAUUCCGAAGAUGCAUCGUCAUUUCAUUUCGGCCUGGCUCUGUGGAAGCACAGACUCAACUUACUUUUUCGGACCAGACCCAGAUGCCUAAUACUACAAAUGCUGAAGAAGCUUUAAAGCAAUCUCCUAAUUCAUCAUCUUUAAAUGUUAUUGCAUCCAGUAUUGAAGCUGUGGUCAUCAAUUCUGCAAAUGCAACCGAAUCCCCAACCACUAAGGAACAAGAAACUAGCCUGGAUGCAACAACCUCAAGCGAGACAGCAACUACAAGUGAAUUCUUCACGAGUCCUGAACCAACUACAAAAGAAUUAUUAACAUCACCAACUCCACUUGAAUCAACAAUGCAGGAAACAAUCACAGUAGAAUCUACAACAAGCACCACUGAAGCUCCAACAUCCACUACAGAACAAGUGACAACCUUGGAGACAACAACCUCAACUGAUGCAACAACUACACGUCAAGUGGUCACAAGCACAGAACCAACUACAACUGCAUUAACAACACCUUUUGAGACUACAGUCCAAGAAACAACCACUGUAGAAUCCACAACAACCACCACUGAAGCACCAACAUCAACUACAGAAAAAGUGACAACUCAACAACAAACGAGUGAAUCCCAAUCAACUUCAAAUUUUCUGACAACCACAAGCGAACCAGUUACAACGACAACUACAACAAUGAACACUCCUGUCCACAAUGAAGGUUACCUUUAUCUACGGUUUAAGAUGAAUCAGAAUUUCAUUUCAGCAUAUACUGUUAAAACCUCACCUGAAUACCAGUCACUGGAAAGCAGUGUGAUAACAGAGGUGACCAGAGCAUUCACAUUUAAAUACCCACUAACAUUCCAAAGAUGUGUGAUCCUUAGUUUUUGGCCUGGCUCUGUUGGAGUAGACGCGCAGACAACUUUUGCAAAUGAGACUGCAGUGCCCAGUGUGCCAGAAGCAGUGCAAGCACUACAAGAGAAUUUAAACACAUCCAAUAACUUAAAUAUUACACUCUCAAGUCUUCAAGCUGCAAUAAACUCAAGUGGACUUACUGACAAUUUCCAAUCGACUGAAGCCCCUGCUACAUUCACAACAUCAGUUGAAACAACUGAAACUUCAACAUCAUUAACAGUUCCUGUGGAGACUACAGCACCAGAAACAACCUUUGUAGAAUCACCAACUAGUACCAAUGUAGCUUCAACAUCAACUACAGAACAAGUUACAACCCUGCUUACAACCACCACAAGUGAGGCAACAACUACACAUGAAGUUGAUACAAGUUCUGAACCUACAACUGAUUUAUCACCAACAACUCUAUUUGAGACUUCAUUACAACAGACCUCCACUGUAGAAUCCACAAGUACCACUACAAUCACCUCAACUGAAGCAACAACUUCAACCACAGAACAAGUGGCAACCUUGGAGACAACAACCUCAACUGAUGCAACAACUACAAGUCAAGUGGUCACAAGCACAGAACUAACUACAACUGAAUUAACAACACCUUUUGACGUUACAGUCCAAGAAACAACCACUGUAGAAUCCACAACAAGCACCACUGAAGCUCCAACAUCAACUACAGAACAAGUGACAACCUUGGAGACAACAACCUCAACUGAUGCAACAACUACAAGUCAAGUGGUCACAAGCACAGAACCAACUACAACUGAAUUAACAACACCUUUUGAGACUACAGUCCAAGAAACAACCACUGUACAAUCCACAACAAGCACCACUGAAGCUCCAACAUCAACUACAGAACAAGUGACAACC
rnacentral:lncRNA from 1 species